UGUGCCAGUUGUACCGCCAGGUGCAUGGCUGGUUAGCCACCUACGGAAGGGAUAAACGCUGAAAGCAUCUAAGUGUGAAACCCGUCCCAAGAUAAGAGUUCCCAUGCGGUUAACGCAGUAAGGCCCGUGGCGAGACCACCACGUUGAUAGGCCGGAAGUGGAAGCGCGGCGACGCGCGGAGCUGACCGGUACUAAUCGGCCGAGGGCUUGGAU
rnacentral:rRNA from 1 species